rnacentral:tRNA from 1 species
GGGCUUGUGGUUUAGUGGUAUAAUACUCCCUUAGCAUGGGAGUGGUCCAGGGUUCGAGUAAGUUCGACAGCUCA